rnacentral:lncRNA from 1 species
AAGUAUUGUUUCACAACCUUUCUCAUAAUUCGGGUGUGUUAGAGCUCCCUAAGGAUCUCAAGGGCUCUCGGGCAGUGCUCACACCCACAUUUCAUAGCCAAGACAGAGCAAGUGCAAUGUGGAAAUGCUAGCUUUUGUGUGUCAAAGUUCAAAAGGAUAUCAAGGGUCCCAAGGCAAUGCUCACACAAAAGGGGAAGAACAUAGUGGUCUAAGAGUAUGGUAAGAGUGCUCGACAUAGUUUUGAAGAGUUUGAGUAAGAAAACAGUUUUGAAAACGGGUAAGUAAGAAACUGUUUUGAAAAAAGAGACUUAAUUGAAAUAAUGUUAUAACAAAGUUUAACUAGCGUAAAUAAUUUUAAGGAGCAUGCAUACGAAUCUCAAAACUAAAACAAAGUCAGCAUCACGCCAAGGACCGAGAAUAGUCUAGCAAACAAAAGCAAGGGAAUGUGAUUGGAGGGACAAAUAUGGAGCAUGCGAGGGCAACCAGCAACCAUGUAGCAGGCAAGAACAUAUAUGAGCACACAGUCAGAAACUCCUAUAGGUUCCGAGGAUCAUG